GCACCACUCCUCCCUCUCCUUUAAACACCACCUGCAUGAGCAGCAGCAGAAAGACUGUUUCUACUGAUCGUUGUACAUAGUGUUUUUAAAUGGCUCUCUUGGGUUCUGUUUUAAUCCCAUCUAAAGGAAGGAGAAGACAGAAGUAAAACCAUGAUAUCAACACGGUGUGGGAUGUAUUCUAAGGAACACGUAAAGCUCUGUUGCUCUGCAUCCUAAAUGGCGCCCUAUUCCCUACAUAGGGAUCUACUUUGUGACCAGGGCCCAUAGGAGAGAUCUGUUCAAAAGUAGUGCACUAUAUAGGAAAUAGGGUACCCUUUAGGAUGCACACUUUGCUCUGUUCUGUUACCGAAUGAAUACAUUGCAAAUGUAACAUUCCUCAGUGCCUGUCCAUAACUGUGUAGCCUGGUCCCAGAUCAGUUUGUAUUGUCUUGUCUCAUUGUUGACCGUACAGUAGGAGUUGGCUUGGCAAGAACGCAUAAACUGAUCUGGGACAGGCUAAUAUCUGUGAACUGUCAAAGCACUUAGGGCCAGAAGCACUGGUACUCUGCAGGUCUGACAAACAAACAGGUCCUUAAAUAAUAUAUUUUAGUUGUAGGUUCUAGAUGGAUUAUUAUUACAGCUGACAUUAACAUAUAUCUAUUUUUUGUAAGAUGAUGAGAGACAUUAUUUUAAAGGAUUACUCCAGGCUUUUUUUGUUCCCCCUCAGAGGCUUAUUUAUAUCAAGGAAGCUUUUAGUUUUCAUAAUUUUUGUUCGAUUUUAAUUGUCAGCGCUGUAGUGUAAAUAACUUUUUGUAAGGAGAAAAACUUGUAGUGUGAUUUCUACAUAAAGAUGGACCUCUUAAUAAAGGUUAACGUUAUGAGUGAUGUUUGAUCAUGGGGCUACAGUGGACACCAGAUGGACCUCUUAAUAAAGGUUAACGUUAUGAGUGAUGUUUGAUCAUGGGGCUACAGUGGACACCAGAUGGACCUCUUAAUAAAGGUUAACGUUAUGAGUGAUGUUUGAUCAUGGGGCUACAGUGGACACCAGAUGGACCUCUUAAUAAAGGUUAACGUUA